GGGAAGGCAGAAAAACUUGAAGACGACUUGAAGCUGGAAGGAGCUUCUGGGUCACAGAUAGGUGAGAGAGAGGAAUGCUUGCAUUCUUUGAGUUUUUGACUAGCCUUUCCAAAGGAGGCAGUCAGCUAUGCAUCUAUCUCAGUGACAGGCAGGUUGUCCCUAAGCAGUUCCCAGUUUGGCUUUUCCCUUUAGCUUAGUGAUUUAGGGGCCCCAAGAUUUAUUUUCCUUUCACACACCUAAGGGACUAAAAAUGUGAGUACAUAUACACACAGAGACACACUCCAAACUCUCUUUAUAGAAGGGCUUCCUUGUUCUUGUAUUCAUCCCUCUUCAUCCUGUUCAGGGAUGAGCUUCCUGGCUUUCACUUACCAGAGCAAGCUUGACAGUGUUGUGGGUAGGAAGCAGGCCCACCCUUUCUAUGUGUUGGUGUUCUGUGUGAUUUUCUGGGGAUGCGUGUAUGUUGUUGAGCUUUAUUUUUUAUCUAGAUUGUGUUUAUGUCAGGAGGUUGCCUGAAAUAAAACUGAAGCUUCAUAGUUUAGCCUUUAGUUGUGUUUC